UCUGAAAAGUUAGUUUUAAUAUAAUGCUACAGUAAAAAUAAAGCAAUAUACAUACAUUAACCACUUUCUAAAUAUGCUGUCUGUCUUUGGAGCAAAACAUUUGCCUUAGAUCUACUCUGUCCAGUGUAGUUGCUAUCAGCCAAUGUAGCUAUCUAAAUUUAUGUUUGAACUAGAGGCCCAGUGCAUGAAAUUUAUGCAUGAGUAGGGUACCUAGGCCUGGCCAGUGAUUAGGGCCGAUCAGGGCCUUCCAUAUUGGCUACCGACUGGGGCCUUCCUUCCUAAUGGCUACCAUAUUGGGCAACACAGAUAUCAAAUAUUAUUAUCAUUGCACAAAGUUCCUACUGGACAGUGCUGCCUUGUGCAUAGUGUCCAGUAAGUAAUUAUUGAACAAAACAUUGAAUACUAUAGCUGUUGUUAGUUGUGCCCUGAUCUAUUUUUAAGUUUGGAGGGGGGCGUUUAAAUCAUUAGAGAGACUAAUUAAGAAAAUACGUAAUUGAAUUGUUGCUAAAUAGGAUUAUGAGGCCUUUCUAUAUAUAAGAGAUGAACCAUCUUUGGGUGUUUUAUUUUGUUUUGUUUUGUUUUUGGUAACAGGUUAUUUGAUGUAGUAGCCAAAUCUCUAUUACCCCUCCAUUUGCAGAGGUUUUAAAAGGUCAGGAAAAUUAGAACAGAAACUGGGCAAAUCAGAUUUGCUCUUUAUCCAGAAAUAAUUUGCUGUGACGUGUGACUAAAUAGUGUUGAGUAUCUCUCUCCUAUUAAAAUGUGAGAUGGUAGAGAAGUAGAUUGGAGAAAGCAGGGGAGAGGUUGCUUAGAAGGAAGUACUAUUUAGAAGACUGGAGAAGGAGGUACUACAAGAAAAAAAUGUGUGUUGAGAGUUAAAUUGUUUUUACAUGAUCUCCAUGUGAUUUUAUGAAUUAUAGAGGAAAAUAAUGAAUUUAUUUAGUCAGUGUAUGUUUUUUCAUCUUCAGAAUUAAAAUUGUUUUCUUAAUUUCAUAAAUGGUUUUUU